GCUAUGUAUGCCUUCACACCCUCUUCCUACGGUCAUCACUGCUCUAAAAAGGACAAACAAACAAACAAAGCCCACACGCCAAGCCUAUUAUGAAGGAAAUUAAGACCAACACAGAGGGAGAUAAAACGGGCCAAAUCUGCUACAGGUGAUGUCAGCCGACUGAGACUUCACUUAGACCUAGAUAGACCCUCUUAUUCUUGUGUUUUUUCUAUUCCCGCCUUUCUAAGAUUCAACGAUCAAACGUCCCCCAAGCCCGGUCAUAUAAUUUGCGAAUGCGAUGGUUCUGCUGUUAAGCCUGCUGCGGGUGGUCUGUGUCGAGAUUUCCGCAGGCUACAGCUUGUGUGUGUGGAUCCUUAACACAAUGCACGAAGUUGCACACACGCAUCCGCACAGGAACUGGAGUGAGUCGUGAAACUUGAAGACGGUGAAAGUCACUAGAGCUGCUUCACUAUCAUCGUGUACAUCGUCAAAAACCGAAUUCCGUGACAUUUCCUCGUGGCCGGUCACGUGGUUGACGUGCAACGCCACCGCCCAGACGUGUACAUCGAACAGUUCGCGACAGCGAUCGGCCAUGCCUCGGACUCCACAGCCCAUGCACAUUAUCCGAACUGAGCCGAGUGCAGGAGCAGCCAGGGGAGGAUGGAAGCGGGGAGCACGAGCCAAGAACGCGAGCGCCCGCGCGCCUCGCCGCCGGCGCUGCCGUGCGCGGUGCGGCUGCAGGUCACCGCGUUCUCGCCCCUCAUCGACGUCAUCAACCGCCGCGACGGCACCGUCAACCGCGGCCUCUACUCCGUCGCCGACCGCGUCCUCCGCGUGCGCGCGAGCCCCCGCCCGGACUCCUCCGGCGUCCGCUCUGCCGACUUCGACGUCGACGCGUCGCGCGGCCUCCUGGCGCGCGUCUUCUCCUUCUCCUCCCCCGCCGCGCCCCGGGCCCCGCUCCCGGUCGUCGUCUACUUCCACGGCAGCGGCUUCGCGAUGUUCUCCGCGCGCCAGUGCUACUUCGACCGCCUGUGCCGCCGCAUCUGCCGCGGCGUCGGCGCGGUCGUCGUCUCCGUCGAGUACCGCCUCGCCCCCGAGCACCCCUACCCGGCCGCCUACGACGACGCCGUGGACACGCUCCGCUUCAUCGACGCCAACGGCGUCCCGGGGUUGGACGAGGGCGUCCGCGUGGACCUCUCCAGCUGCUUCCUCGCCGGGUAGAGCGCCGGCGGCAACAUAAUCCACCACGCGGCCAACCGCUGGGCCGCGGCCGCGCCCACCCCCAGCUCCGUGCGCCUCGCCGGCCUCAUCUCCGUGCAGCCCUACUUCGGCGGCGAGGAGCGGACGGAGUCGGAGCUGAGGCUGGACGGCGUGGCGCCGAUCGUGACCCUCCGGCGGGCGGACUUCUGGUGGAGGGCGUUCCUACCGGAGGGCGCCAGCCGCGACCACCCGGCGGCGCACGUGACCGACGAGAACGCCGAGCUGGCCGAGGCGUUCCCGCCGGCGAUGGUGCUGGUCGGCGGGUUCGACCCGCUGCAGGACUGGCAGCGGCGGUACGCCGACGUGCUGCGGCGGAAGGGGAAGACCGUGGAGGUGGUGGAGUUCCCAGACGGCAUCCACGCGUUCUACCUCUUCCCGGACCUCCCCGACACCGCCAGAGCUAUCGAGCGCAUGAGGACGUUCGUGCAAAGCAACCGGACGUCGCCGUCGGCGCCAGAACCUUCUCGCGGGAACGACAUCGAUUGAAAACGGCCAUUCAAAAAUUGAUUGAAAAGAACUUGUAGUCCCCUCGACGUGUCGAAAUUUGGAAAUACGAGUAUUUCUUCAAGUCCAUUCAAUUUAGGAAUUGGGUACACAUUGGUCCAUAGAAAAUUGUGUACACAAUGAAAGAUACUCCCUCCUUUCCAGUUUAUAAGACUCAAUUCAAAAAUCUCACCAAUCAAGAUAGAUGAUGAGUGGUGAAAUAUUUUUUGUAGUUUGCAAAAGCACCCAAUUAAUGUUUUUAUUUUCCUCAAAAAA
rnacentral:rRNA from 1 species